rnacentral:rRNA from 1 species
GAUGAACGCUAGCUACAGGCUUAACACAUGCAAGUCGAGGGGCAGCAUGAACUUAGCUUGCUAAGUUUGAUGGCGACCGGCGCACGGGUGAGUAACGCGUAUCCAACCUGCCCUUGUCCAUCGGAUAACCCGUCGAAAGGCGGACUAACACGGUAUGCAGUCCACAGCAGGCAUCUAACGUGGACGAAAUGUGAAGGAGAAGGAUGGGGAUGCGUCUGAUUAGCUUGUUGGCGGGGUAACGGCCCACCAAGGCGACGAUCAGUAGGGGUUCUGAGAGGAAGGUCCCCCACAUUGGAACUGAGACAAGGUCCAAACGCCUACGGGAGGCAGCAGGGAGGGAUAUUGGUAAAUGGACGGAAGUCUGAACCAGCCAAGUAGCGUGCAGGAUGACGGCCCUAUGGGUUGUAAACUGCUUUUAUAUGGGGAUAAAGUGAGUCACGUGUGGCUUAUUGCAGGUACCAUAUGAAUAAGGACCGGCUAAUUCCGUGCCAGCAGCCGCCGUAA